rnacentral:rRNA from 1 species
UGCAGUCGAACGGUAAGUAGUGUAGCAAUACAUUGCCUAGAGUGACGUACGGGUGCGUAACACGUAUGCAACCUACCUAUAACAGGAGGAUAGCUCGGGGAAACUCGAAUUAACCCUCCAUAAUAUAAUUGAAUGGCAUCAUUUGAUUAUUAAAACUCCGGUGGUUAUAGAUGGGCAUGCGUCUGAUUAGUUAGUUGGCGGGGUAAAGGCCCACCAAGACGAUGAUCAGUAGGGGAACUGAGAGGUUGAUCCCCCACACUGGCACUGAGAUACGGGCCAGACUCCUACGGGAGGCAGCGGUAGGGAAUAUUGGUCAAUGGGUGCGAGCCUGAACCAGCCAUGCCGCGUGCAGGAAGAAGGCCUUCUGGGUUGUAAACUGCUUUUGCCGGGGGAUAAAAUUCCCAUGCGUGGGAAAUUGAAGGUACCCGGUGAAUAAGCCACGGCUAACUACGUGCCAGCAGCCGCGGUAAUACGUAGGUGGCAAGCGUUGUCCGGAUUUAUUGGGUUUAAAGGGUGCGUAGGCGGCCUUGUAAGUCAGUGCUGAAAUAUCCCGGCUUAACCGGGAGGGUGGCAUUGAUACUGCAGGGCUUGAGUAGAGUCGAGGUAGGCGGAAUUGACGGUGUAGCGGUGAAAUGCUUAGAUAUCGUCAAGAACACCGAUAGUGUAGACAGCUUACUAGGCUCAAACUGACGCUGAGGCACGAAAGUGUGGGGAUCAAACAGGAUUAGAUACCCUGGUAGUCCACACUGUAAACGUUGAUGACUCGCUGUUGGCGAUAUACAGUCAGCGGCUUAGAGAAAUCGUUAAGUCAUCCACCUGGGGAGUACGCCGGCAACGGUGAAACUCAAAGGAAUU